AACGAACGCUGGCGGCAGGCCUAACACAUGCAAGUCGAACGCCCUAGCAAUAGGGAGUGGCAGACGGGUGAGUAACACGUGGGAACCUUCCCUAUAGUACGGAAUAGCUCAGGGAAACUUGAAGUAAUACCGUAUACGCCCGAGAGGGGAAAGAUUUAUCGCUAUAGGAUGGGCCCGCGUCGGAUUAGCUAGUUGGUGAGGUAAUGGCUCACCAAGGCGACGAUCCGUAGCUGGUUUGAGAGAACGACCAGCCACACUGGGACUGAGACACGGCCCAGACUCCUACGGGAGGCAGCAGUGGGGAAUAUUGGACAAUGGGCGCAAGCCUGAUCCAGCCAUGCCGCGUGAGUGAUGAAGGCCUUAGGGUUGUAAAGCUCUUUUAGCAGGGAAGAUAAUGACUGUACCUGCAGAAUAAAGCUCCGGCUAACUUCGUGCCAGCAGCCGCGG
rnacentral:rRNA from 1 species